UGGUGAUACUAAAUUUAUUCAAAUUGAAAAUUAUUGAAAAUUUUGAAAGGGGGGACUGUGGCCCAAUGAGCACAAUUUUGGUCUGUAACUCAAAAAUUUCAAUAAUUUUCUUUCUGAAUAAAUUUCGUGUUCCCC
rnacentral:sRNA from 13 species